rnacentral:rRNA from 1 species
AGAGUUUGAUCCUGGCUCAGAUUGAACGCUGGCGGCAUGCUUUACACAUGCAGGUCGAGCGGCAGCGCGGGGGCAACCCUGGCGGCGAGCGGCGAACGGGUGAGUAAUGCAUCGGAACGUACCCCGNUAGCGGGGGAUAACCCGGCGAAAGCCGGGCUAAUACCGCAUAUGCUCUACGGAGGAAAGUGGGGGAACCGCAAGGACCUCACACUAUGGGAGCGGCCGAUGCCCGAUUAGCUUGUUGGUGAGGUAAAGGCUUACCAAGGCGACGAUCGGUAGCUGGUCUGAGAGGAUGAUCAGCCACACUGGGACUGAGACACGGCCCAGACUCCUACGGGAGGCAGCAGUGGGGAAUUUUGGACAAUGGGGGCAACCCUGAUCCAGCCAUGCCGCGUGCGGGAAGAAGGCCUUCGGGUUGUAAACCGCUUUUGUUCGGGAAGAAAAGACCACGGCUAAUACCUGUGGUUCUUGACGGUACCGGAAGAAUAAGCACCGGCUAACUACNUGCCAGCAGCCGCGGUAAUACGUAGGGUGCGAGCGUUAAUCGGAAUUACUGGGCGUAAAGCGUGCGCAGNGCGGUUCGUUGUGUCUGCUGUGAAAUCCCCGGNGCUCAACCUGGGAAUGGCAGGGGGAAACUUGNCNANCUUGAGUGUGGC